UGCGUUGUUGGUUGUGACCCA
rnacentral:siRNA from 1 species